UACGUAGGGUGCGAGCGUUGUCCGGAAUUAUUGGGCGUAAAGAGCUCGUAGGCGGUGUGUCACGUCGGCCGUGAAAACCUGCAGCUUAACUGUGGGCUUGCGGUCGAUACGGGCAUCACUGGAGUUCGGCAGGGGAGACUGGAAUUCCUGGUGUAGCGGUGAAAUGCGCAGAUAUCAGGAGGAACACCGGUGGCGAAGGCGGCUUCCUGGACCGACACUGACGCUGAGGCGCGAAAGCUAGGGGAGCAAACGGG
rnacentral:rRNA from 1 species